CAUCCUGCGGCCACUCUUCUCUGCUGUAUGAUGUGUUAGCGCACAUACUUGGGGUUGUUGGCACAGCCAUCUUCUUGUUUUCCUCCCGCCCUUUGCUCCAUCAACCUUUCUUUGAGAGGUACAGUCUCUAGUCACCAUCUGGUUCCGGGUAGCCACCUGGGACAUUUGUCUUGGUCUGAAGCCCGGGACCUUACCACCCCAUGGCUGUGCCUACUUCCCAUAGCCGAGGCUCCUGGAUCAACUCACAGCUUGCCUUGGCUUCCUUUUACUGCUGACUCUAAAUCUGAGAGACCAAAGGUGUAACAUCAGGUUGUUUUGCCUGAUAUAUGAAACCAUGUGGUUUCAGAGGAGAAGUUGGGAGCUUGAUAUGUGGGAGUCUGGGAGUGAGGUAGUGGCAACAAGUAGAAUACUGUAGGAAAAACACUGUGAGCAUUGGGGCCAUUCAUUUAAUCAAUAUCUUGUGAGCAUGACAAGUGCUGCCAGGCACCAGGCUAGACAUUGUUCUAGAAAUUUGUGGGUCUGAUGCUCAAUUCCUCCAACCAAAAUUUAUCUGACCAUCAUAACGGCUAGAACAAAAGUGAGAGGCAAUCCCAAAUCUUUAAUGUGUAUUUAUUUAUUUAUAUUUUUGGCUACACCACCCAGCAUGUGGGAUCAUCGAACCCAUACCCCUACAUUGGAAGCAUGGAGUCUUAAUCACUGGACCACCAGGGAAGUCCUGAAAUCCCAAAUCGAAUGAGGCAAUAAAGCAACUGGAACCCUUCUACACCAUGGAUUUCUCAUGAUACCAAGUGACUGCCACAACUCUUGCCUAAGAUGCUUUCAGGAACAAGAAGGAUUCAUGUCUGGGACAGAGAGGAGAAGAGCUCCUGGGAUUUGCAGAAGAAAGAGGCCUGGGGACAAACAGAUGUCAUCACUGGGGCCCCAGGAAGACCUUAUCGGGCCUGUAGACUCUUCCUUUGGAGCCUUGGUCUUAGCAGUGUUGUUUUCUGGCCCUUGGCGGAUG